UGGCUUCUACACAGAGAUAUUGGAGAACGUCCUGAACAAUGUGAGAAUAAGAGAGCCAGGAAACGUAUUGCAGAUCCCAACAGCUGCUACAGUUUCACUUAUUGUCAUACUUUUUUGUAUCGCCUUUGAUAAUGCUGAAAUAUUUUUGAAGUAUUUUCUCUUUUGUUAACUUACUGCACAGUACGUUAACUGCAGAAUACACAAAGUUCUUUUAAGAGCUACCAUGUUGUACUUUCUGCCAUAAACGUGUGCUACAGUUUCACUUAUUGUCAUACUUUUUUUUUAUAUCGCCUUUGAUAAUGCUGAAAUAUUGUUCAAGUAUUUUCUCUUAUGUUAACUUACUGCACAGUACGUUAACUGCAGAAUACACAAAGUUCUUUUAAGAGCUACCAUGUUGUAAUUUCUGCCAUGAACAUGUGCUACAGUUUCACUUAUUGUCAUACAAUUUUGUUUAUUUGCCUUUGGUAAUGCUGAUAUAUUGUUCAAGUAUUUUCUCUUUUGUAAACUUACUGCACAGUUUUUAAAACUAUGCUACAAAAGCUCACUAGAGCUAGAACAGAUUCAACGCAGAAUACAAAACUUUCUUUUGAGAGCUACCAUGUUGUUCUUUCUGCCAUGAGCAUGUGCUACAGAUAAGUUCCAAUUUUUAUAUUUAAUCAUGAUUCAUUAUGAUUGAUCAAUUUUGAAUGAUUGUACAUGGAAUUGUAAAAUGAACUGUACAAAAAGGAUUCCAGUUAUAUUGCAAAGAAAUAAAUUCAGUCAUAACCAUGACGGAAGUGUUCAUCUUAA